UACCUUGGGAACAGUGCUUAUCAUCACAGC
rnacentral:piRNA from 1 species